rnacentral:tRNA from 1 species
GGGGUUGUGGCUCAGAGGUAGUAGAGCACUCGCCUAGCAUGCGUGAGGCACUGGGUUCAAUCUUCAGCACCACA